rnacentral:rRNA from 1 species
AGCGAACGCUGGCGGCAGGCCUAACACAUGCAAGUCGAACGGAUCCUUCGGGAUUAGUGGCGGACGGGUGAGUAACACGUGGGAACGUGCCCUUUGGUUCGGAACAACUCAGGGAAACUUGAGCUAAUACCGGAUGUGCCCUUCGGGGAAGAUUAUCGCCAUUGGAGCGGCCCGCGUCUGAUUAGCUAGUUGGUGGGGUAAAGGCCCGACCAAGGCGACGAUCAGUAGCUGGUCUGAGAGGAUGAUCAGCCACAUUGGGACUGAGACACGGCCCAAACUCCUACGGGAGGCAGCAGUGGGGAAUCUUGCGCAAUGGGCGAAAGCCUGACGCAGCCAUGCCGCGUGAAUGAUGAAGGUCUUAGGAUUGU